CCCUUAGAUGUUCUGGGCCGCACGCGCGCUACACUGAUGAAUUCAACGAGUUUUCCACCUUGACCGAGAGGUCCGGGAAAUCUUUUCAACUUUCAUCGUGCUGGGGAUAGAUUAUUGCAAUUAUUGAUCUUGAACGAGGAAUUCCUAGUAAGCGCGAGUCAUCAGCUCGCGUUGAUUACGUCCCUGCCCUUUGUACACACCGCCCGUCGCUCCUACCGAUUGAAUGGUCCGGUGAAGCGUUCGGACCGUGGCCUUUGGACGGUUCGCCGUCUGUUGGCUGCGGGAAGUUCGUUAAACCUUAUCAUUUAGAGGAAGGAGAANUCGUANCA
rnacentral:rRNA from 1 species